GUUCAAACGAGGAAGGGCUUACGGUGGAUACCUAGGCACACAGAGACAAGGAAGGGCAUGGUAAGCGAUGAAAUGCUUCAGGGAGUUGAAAAUGAGCAUAGAUCUGGAGAUUCCUGAAUAGGUUAACCUUUUUAACUGUUGCUUAAUCCAUGGGUAGGCAAGAGACAAGUUGGUGAACUAAAACAUCUUAGUAGCUAGAGGAAUAGAAAGAAAAAUCGAUUCCCAUAGUAGCGGCGAGUGAAAUGGGAGCAUCCUAAACCGUGAAAACGGGGUUGUGGGAGAGCACAAUAUAAGCUCUAUGCUGCUAGGCGAAGUGGUUGAGUCCUACACCCUAGAUGGUGAGAGUCCAAUAGCCAAAAGCAUCAUUGGGUUACGCUCUAUUCCGAGUAGCAUGGGGCACGUGGAAUCCCAUGUGAAUCAGCAAGGAGCACCUUGCAAGGAUAAAUACUCCUGUGUGACCGAUAGCGAAGUAGUACCGUGAGGGAAAGGUGAAAAGAACCCCCAUUGGGGAGUGAAAUAGAACAUGAUACCGUAAUAUCCCAAGAAGUGGGAGGAAAAUGAUAUCUUUGACCACUUGCCUAUUGAAUAAUGAGUCGAUGACUUAUAGGCAGUGGCUUGGUUAAGGGAACCCACCGGAGCCGUAGCGAGAGUGAGUCUUCAUGGGGCAAUUGUCACUGCUUAUGGACCCGAACUUGGGUGAUCUAUCCAUGACCAGGAUGAAGCUUGGGUGAAACUAAGUGGAGGUCCGAACCGACUGAUGUUGAAAAAUCAAUGGAUGAGUCGUGGUUAGGGGUGAAAUUCCACUCGAACCCAGAGCUAGCUGGUUCUCCCCGAAAUGCAUUGAGGCGCAGCAAUUGACUGGACCAUCUAGGGGUAAAUCACUGUUUCGGUACGGGCCGCGAGAGAGGUACCAAAUCAAGGCAAACUCUAAAUACUAGAUUGCCCCAAUAAAAGGAUCGAGCGCUCUUGCGCCGAAUAUGAAUGGGACUAAGCGAUCUGUCGAAGCUGUGGGAUGUAAAAAUACAUCGGUAGGGGAGUGUUCUACCUCAGAGGGAAGCACCGGUGCGAGCAGGUGUGGAUAAAGCGAAAGCAAGAAUGUCGGCUUGAGUAAUGCAAACAUUGGUGAGAAUCCAAUGCCCUGAAAACCUAAGGGUUCCUCUGCAAGGUUCAUCCACGGAGGGUGAGUCAGGGCCUAAUAUCAGGCCAAAAGGCAUAGUUGAUGGACAACAGGUUAAUAUUCAUGUACUACCCCUUGUUGGUCCCGAGGGACGAAGGAGGCUAGGUUAUCUGAAAUAUGGUUAUCAGUUCAAGGACACAAGGUGACCCUCUAUACAUUGGUUCAAAGGUAAAAGAAGAAUCAAAUAUAGGUGUGUAAAAGGUGAGGUCGGGGGUGGAUAUUCCUCAUCAUCUACUCUAGCACACAAAAAUCCAAUAUGGAUUAUCCAAACAUUACAGGAUGCACAGAAUCAUGUAGGAGCGUCCAUAUCAUCAAUGAGGGUGAGUAUACCUCCUAGGAGAUAUGUUAACCAUAUUGUAUUAGAUUCUUCCAUUUGUGAUCUUUACAAUUGUUUUGAGGAG
rfam:Picea glauca, whole genome shotgun sequence.